GAUGAACGCUGGCGGCGUGCUUAACACAUGCAAGUCGAACGAUGAAGCCCAGCUUGCUGGGUGGAUUAGUGGCGAACGGGUGAGUAACACGUGAGUAACCUGCCCUUGACUCUGGGAUAAGCCUGGGAAACUGGGUCUAAUACUGGAUAUGACUUCUCAUCGCAUGGUGGGGGGUGGAAAGAUUUAUUGGUCUUGGAUGGACUCGCGGCCUAUCAGCUUGUUGGUGAGGUAAUGGCUCACCAAGGCGACGACGGGUAGCCGGCCUGAGAGGGUGACCGGCCACACUGGGACUGAGACACGGCCCAGACUCCUACGGGAGGCAGCAGUGGGGAAUAUUGCACAAUGGGCGCAAGCCUGAUGCAGCGACGCCGCGUGAGGGAUGACGGCCUUCGGGUUGUAAACCUCAUUCAGUAGGGAAGAAGCGAGAGUGACGGUACCUGCAGAAGAAGCGCCGGCUAACUACGUG
rnacentral:rRNA from 1 species